UUUUGUUUAAAUAGUAUUACAAGUUUUGUGUUUAUUUUUUUUUUCCCCAACAGGUGGCCUUAAAAGGAAUCAAGUAUGCAGAAGAAUGGUAGGAUCUUCAUAUCAAAGGGUUUAUCUGUGCGACGAUUACACAACUACAAUUCGAUUAGUUGAGCAUCGGUCUUUUCAUCCUUGAGUUGUUCUCAGAGCAUCUGCUCUAUCAAUGCUUUCCUGCCUUCUAUUGUCCAGGCUGAAGCAAUCGUGUUGCUGACCUACUCCCACAUUCCACCACCACGCAGAUUAUUCUAGAGCCAUAGUUAUGGAAGGAAAAAGGAUUUUCUGCCUAUAACACCCAAGAAAGUGUGGGAAGAUUGUUGAUUAUCUCAUUGACCCUGGCCUUCGUUGCCGGCACAAGUGGUGGAGAUCCCUUAUCACUU